CUCAGCUUAGCUCAGUUGGAAGAGCGUGAGACUGUAACUGGAUGCAUUCGCUUCAUCUCAAUGUCGCUGGUUCGAUCCCGGCAGCUGAGA